AUGUGUGCAGUGCCCUGUCCAGGAAGGGGCUAAUUUCAUAUACUAAAAGUCAUUAGUCCCUGCCUGGGCAAAGUAAUGCUCACUAA
rfam:Ailuropoda melanoleuca scaffold5827_8, whole genome shotgun sequence.